rnacentral:rRNA from 1 species
AACGAACGCUGGCGGCAUGCCUAACACAUGCCAGUCGAACGAGACCUUCGGGUCUAUUGGCGCACGGGUGCGUAACGCGUGGGAACCUGCCCUUAGGUUCGGAAUACCUCCCCGAAAGGGGUGCUAAUAACGGAUAAUGUCUUCGGACCAAAGAUUUAUAGCCUUUGGAUGGGCCCGCGUUGGAUUAGCUAGUUGGUAGGGUAAGAGCCUACCAAGGCGACGAUCCAUAGCUGGUCUGAGAGGAUGAUCAGCCACACUGGGACUGAGACACGGCCCAGACUCCUACGGGAGGCAGCAGUGGGGAAUAUUGGACAGCGCGCGAAAGCCUGAUCCAGCAAGGCCGCGGGAGUGAUGAAGGCCUGAGGGUUGUAAAGCUCGUUUACCCGGGAUGAUAAUGACAGGACCGGUAGAAUAAGCACCGGCUAACUCCGU